GGCUCAGGAUGAACGCUAGCGGCAGGCUUAACACAUGCAAGUCGAGGGGUAACAGGUCUUUCGGGACGCUGACGACCGGCGCACGGGUGAGUAACGCGUAUGCAAUCUGCCUUCAGCUGGAGGAUAGCCCGGAGAAAUCCGGAUUAAUACUCCAAAUGCUAUCGGACGGCAUCGUCUGAUAUCUAAAGCUCCGGCGGCUGAUGAUGAGCAUGCGUGACAUUAGUUAGUUGGUGAGGUAACGGCUCACCAAGACUACGAUGUCUAUGGGGUCUUAAAGGAUGAUCCCACACACUGGUACUGAGACACGGACCAGACUCCUACGGGAGGCAGCAGUGAGGAAUAUUGGUCAAUGGGCGAAAGCCUGAACCAGCCAUGCCGCGUGAAGGAUGACGGCCCUACGGGUUGUAAACUUCUUUUGUACGGAAAGAACAAAGGCUACGUGUAGCCUCUUGACGGUACCGUACGAAUAAGCAUCGGCUAACUCCAUGCCAGCAGCCGCGGUAAUACGGAGGAUGCAAGCGUUAUCCGGAUUUAUUAGGUUUAAAGGGUGCGUAGGCGGAGUUUUAAGUCAGUGGUGAAAUCUUGUGGCUCAACCAUGAAACUGCCAUUGAUACUAUUGCUCUUGAAUGUAGUUGAGGUAGGCGGAAUGUGUAGUGUAGCGGUGAAAUGCUUAGAUAUUACACAGGACACCAAUUGCGAAGGCAGCUUACUAGACUAUGAUUGACGCUGAGGCACGAAAGCGUGGGGAGCGAACAGGAUUAGAUACCCUGGUAGUCCACGCUGUAAACGAUGAUCACUGGUUGUUGGCGAUACACUGUCAGCGACUGAGCGAAAGCAUUAAGUGAUCCACCUGGGGAGUACGUCGGCAACGAUGAAACUCAAAGGAAUUGACGGGGGCCCGCACAAGCGGAGGAACAUGUGGUUUAAUUCGAUGAUACGCGAGGAACCUUACCCGGGCUUAAAUGUAGCAUGACUGCUGUCGAAAGAUAGUUUCCCUUCGGGGCAAGUUACAAGGUGCUGCAUGGCUGUCGUCAGCUCGUGCCGUGAGGUGUCGGGUUAAGUCCCAUAACGAGCGCAACCCUUAUCGUUAGUUACCAGCGCGUAAAGGCGGGGACUCUAACGAGACUGCCACCGUAAGGUGUGAGGAAGGUGGGGAUGACGUCAAGUCAGCACGGCCCUUACGUCCAGGGCUACACACGUGUUACAAUGGCCAGUACAAAGGGCAGCUACCAGGCGACUGGAUGCUAAUCUCCAAAACUGGUCUUAGUUCGGAUUGAAGUCUGCAACUCGACUUCAUGAAGUUGGAUUCGCUAGUAAUCGCGCAUCAGCCACGGCGCGGUGAUACGUUCCCGGGCCUUGUACACACCGCCCGUCAAGCCAUGGAAGCUGGGGGUACCUGAAGUCCGUAACCGCAAGGAUCGG
rnacentral:rRNA from 1 species